rnacentral:lncRNA from 1 species
GGCAUCCUCUCCUUGUGUCAACAUCAGAAGCGAAUGGGCAAAAAAAGCGACCAAUUAUUCGUGUGAGCAUGGGCUGAUUCAGCAAACAAUCUUACUGUCCACUGCUGCAUCAAAAGCUACCCGUAAGAAGAUUUAGCAUCAUGGUAUGGAGUCCACCAGAUUCAGAUCCUAAUAGUAAUUGAACAAUUCAAUCUCAAUCCUGCCCAGUUCCUUCAAACCAAAGGGAACAAUUCUGCAAUCCUAAACCCAAAAGAGCACCAAUAUUAGUACACACACACACACACACACACAUUUUCAUAGUGCAUACCAAAUUCACAACAACUUUCAUUUUCUUAAUACUACUAAGAUGCAGGGACACACUAAUUAGUUCAUCACCGGUUAAUAGCUAAAGGAGGGAGAAGAAUAGAGAUCAAGUGUUGUAGAGAGGAAAAGAGUGAGCGCACCUGAGGUGGUGAAGAUCAGGUUGAUGGUGGCCACAUCAGCGAUUGGGAGCGGGAGGAGGGAGAUCGGCACCCUUGCCCUUCGCUGAAUCCCAUCGCUACCUCUUCGCAGCAGCAACGAACAUCCCGAACCUCCUGC